rnacentral:rRNA from 1 species
GAGUUGUGGGGUUAAUAGCGAGCCCAACCUCCCACCCGUGUUUACUGUACCUUAGUUGCUUCGGCGGGCCCGCCAUUCAUGGCCGCCGGGGGCUCUCAGCCCCGGGCCCGCGCCCGCCGGAGACACCACGAACUCUGUCUGAUCUAGUGAAGUCUGAGUUGAUUGUAUCGCAAUCAGUUAAAACUUUCAACAAUGGAUCUCUUGGUUCCGGCAUCGAUGAAGAACGCAGCGAAAUGCGAUAACUAGUGUGAAUUGCAGAAUUCCGUGAAUCAUCGAGUCUUUGAACGCACAUUGCGCCCCCUGGUAUUCCGGGGGGCAUGCCUGUCCGAGCGUCAUUGCUGCCCAUCAAGCACGGCUUGUGUGUUGGGUCGUCGUCCCCUCUCCGGGGGGGACGGGCCCCAAAGGCAGCGGCGGCACCGCGUCCGAUCCUCGAGCGUAUGGGGCUUUGUCACCCGCUCUGUAGGCCCGGCCGGCGCUUGCCGAACGCAAAUCAAUCUUUUUCCAGGUUGACCUCGGAUCAGGUAGGGAUACCCGCUGAACUUAAGCAUAUGAGUGUAGG